rnacentral:rRNA from 1 species
UUAAGCGACUAAGCGUACACGGUGGAUGCCCUGGCAGUCAGAGGCGAUGAAGGACGUGCUAAUCUGCGAUAAGCGUCGGUAAGGUGAUAUGAACCGUUAUAACCGGCGAUUUCCGAAUGGGGAAACCCAGUGUGUUUCGACACACUAUCAUUAACUGAAUCCAUAGGUUAAUGAGGCGAACCGGGGGAACUGAAACAUCUAAGUACCCCGAGGAAAAGAAAUCAACCGAGAUUCCCCCAGUAGCGGCGAGCGAACGGGGAGCAGCCCAGAGCCUGAAUCAGUGUGUGUGUUAGUGGAAGCGUCUGGAAAGGCGCGCGAUACAGGGUGACAGCCCCGUACACAAAAAUGCACAUGCUGUGAGCUCGAUGAGUAGGGCGGGACACGUGGUAUCCUGUCUGAAUAUGGGGGGACCAUCCUCCAAGGCUAAAUACUCCUGACUGACCGAUAGUGAACCAGUACCGUGAGGGAAAGGCGAAAAGAACCCCGGCGAGGGGAGUGAAAAAGAACCUGAAACCGUGUACGUACAAGCAGUGGGAGCACGCUUAGGCGUGUGACUGCGUACCUUUUGUAUAAUGGGUCAGCGACUUAUAUUCUGUAGCAAGGUUAACCGAAUAGGGGAGCCGAAGGGAAACCGAGUCUUAACUGGGCGUUAAGUUGCAGGGUAUAGACCCGAAACCCGGUGAUCUAGCCAUGGGCAGGUUGAAGGUUGGGUAACACUAACUGGAGGACCGAACCGACUAAUGUUGAAAAAUUAGCGGAUGACUUGUGGCUGGGGGUGAAAGGCCAAUCAAACCGGGAGAUAGCUGGUUCUCCCCGAAAGCUAUUUAGGUAGCGCCUCGUGAAUUCAUCUCCGGGGGUAGAGCACUGUUUCGGCAAGGGGGUCAUCCCGACUUACCAACCCGAUGCAAACUGCGAAUACCGGAGAAUGUUAUCACGGGAGACACACGGCGGGUGCUAACGUCCGUCGUGAAGAGGGAAACAACCCAGACCGCCAGCUAAGGUCCCAAAGUCAUGGUUAAGUGGGAAACGAUGUGGGAAGGCCCAGACAGCCAGGAUGUUGGCUUAGAAGCAGCCAUCAUUUAAAGAAAGCGUAAUAGCUCACUGGUCGAGUCGGCCUGCGCGGAAGAUGUAACGGGGCUAAACCAUGCACCGAAGCUGCGGCAGCGACGCUGAUGCGUUGUUGGGUAGGGGAGCGUUCUGUAAGCCUGCGAAGGUGUGCUGUGAGGCAUGCUGGAGGUAUCAGAAGUGCGAAUGCUGACAUAAGUAACGAUAAAGCGGGUGAAAAGCCCGCUCGCCGGAAGACCAAGGGUUCCUGUCCAACGUUAAUCGGGGCAGGGUGAGUCGACCCCUAAGGCGAGGCCGAAAGGCGUAGUCGAUGGGAAACAGGUUAAUAUUCCUGUACUUGGUGUUACUGCGAAGGGGGGACGGAGAAGGCUAUGUUGGCCGGGCGACGGUUGUCCCGGUUUAAGCGUGUAGGCUGGUUUUCCAGGCAAAUCCGGAAAAUCAAGGCUGAGGCGUGAUGACGAGGCACUACGGUGCUGAAGCAACAAAUGCCCUGCUUCCAGGAAAAGCCUCUAAGCAUCAGGUAACAUCAAAUCGUACCCCAAACCGACACAGGUGGUCAGGUAGAGAAUACCAAGGCGCUUGAGAGAACUCGGGUGAAGGAACUAGGCAAAAUGGUGCCGUAACUUCGGGAGAAGGCACGCUGAUAUGUAGGUGAAGUCCCUCGCGGAUGGAGCUGAAAUCAGUCGAAGAUACCAGCUGGCUGCAACUGUUUAUUAAAAACACAGCACUGUGCAAACACGAAAGUGGACGUAUACGGUGUGACGCCUGCCCGGUGCCGGAAGGUUAAUUGAUGGGGUCAGCGCAAGCGAAGCUCUUGAUCGAAGCCCCGGUAAACGGCGGCCGUAACUAUAACGGUCCUAAGGUAGCGAAAUUCCUUGUCGGGUAAGUUCCGACCUG